rnacentral:miRNA from 1 species
ACUUAAAUAUUUGUGCAUAUAAAGUAUGUAUGUGUGUGUGUGUGUGUGUGUGUGUGUAUGUAUGUAUGUAUAUAUAUAUAUAUAUAUAUA